rnacentral:rRNA from 1 species
CAGCCGCCACGGUAAUACGGAGGGUGCAAGCGUUAAUCGGAAUUACUGGGCGUAAAGCGCACGCAGGCGGUCUGACAAGUCAGAUGUGAAAUCCCCGGGCUUAACCUGGGAACUGCAUUUGAAACUGUCAGGCUGGAGUCUUGUAGAGGGGGGUGGAAUUCCAGGUGUAGCGGUGAAAUGCGUAGAGAUCUGGAGGAAUACCGGUGGCGAAGGCGGCCCCCUGGACAAAGACUGACGCUCAGGUGCGAAAGCGUGGGGAGCAAACAGGAUUAGAUACCGAGUAGUCCCUGUCUCUUAUACA